rnacentral:rRNA from 1 species
UGGGGAAUAUUUGGACAAUGGGCGAAAGCCUGAUCCAGCCAUGCCGCGUGUGUGAAGAAGGUCUUCGGAAUUGUAAAGCACUUUAAGUUGGGAGGAAGGGCCAUUACCUAAUACGUGAUGGUUUUGACGUUACCGACAGAAUAAGCACCGGCUAACUCUGUGUCAGCAGCCGCGGUAAUACAGAGGGUGCAAGCGUUAAUCGGAAUUACUGGGCGUAAAGCGCGCGUAGGUGGUUUGUUAAGUUGGAUGUGAAAUCCCCGGGCUCAACCUGGGAACUGCAUUCAAAACUGACUGACUAGAGUAUGGUAGAGGGUGGUGGAAUUUCCUGUGUAGCGGUGAAAUGCGUAGAUAUAGGAAGGAACACCAGUGGCGAAGGCGACCACCUGGACUGAUACUGACACUGAGGUGCGAAAUCGUGGGGAGCAAACAGGAUUAGAUACCCUGGUAGUCCACGCCGUAAACGAUGUCAGCUAGCCGUUGGGAGCCUUGAGCUCUUAGUGGCGCAGCUAACGCAUUAAGUGUCCGCCUGGGGAGUACGGGCGCAAGGUUA